UAACGCGAAGAACCUUACCAGGUCUUGACAUCCUCUGACAACCCUAGAGAUAGGGCUUUCCCCUUCGGGGGACAGAGUGGCAGGUGGUGCAUGGUUGUCGUCAGCUCGUGUCGUGAGAUGUUGGGUUAAGUCCCGCAACGAGCGCAACCCUUGAUCUUAGUUGCCAGCAUUCAGUUGGGCACUCUAAGAUGACUGCCGGUGACAAACCGGAGGAAGGUGGGGAUGACGUCAAAUCAUCAUGCCCCUUAUGACCUGGGCUACACACGUGCUACAAUGGACGGUACAAAGGGCAGCAAGACCGCGAGGUUUAGCCAAUCCCAUAAAACCGUUCUCAGUUCGGAUUGUAGGCUGCA
rnacentral:rRNA from 1 species